rnacentral:rRNA from 1 species
AUUGAACGCUGGCGGCAUGCCUUACACAUGCAAGUCGAACGGCAGCACGGGUGCUUGCACCUGGUGGCGAGUGGCGAACGGGUGAGUAAUAUAUCGGAACGUACCUUAUCGUGGGGGAUAACGCAGCGAAAGCUGCGCUAAUACCGCAUACGCCCUGAGGGGGAAAGCGGGGGACCGUAAGGCCUCGCGCGAUUAGAGCGGCCGAUAUCUGAUUAGCUUGUUGGUGGGGUAAAAGCCCACCAAGGCGACGAUCAGUAGCUGGUCUGAGAGGACGAUCAGCCACACUGGGACUGAGACACGGCCCAGACUCCUACGGGAGGCAGCAGUGGGGAAUUUUGGACAAUGGGGGCAACCCUGAUCCAGCAAUGCCGCGUGAGUGAAGAAGGCCUUCGGGUUGUAAAGCUCUUUUGUCAGGGAAGAAACAGCAGCUCUAACACAGUCUGCGAAUGACGGUACCUGAAGAAUAAGC